rnacentral:rRNA from 1 species
AACUUUUAACAAUGGAUCUCUAGGCUUUUGCAUCGAUGAAGAACGUAGCAAAUUGCCAUAACUUGUGUGAAUUGCAAAUUCAGUGAAUCAUCGAGUCUUUGAACGCAUCUUGCGCUCAUUGGUAUUCCAGUGAGCACGCCUGUUUCAGUA